rnacentral:lncRNA from 10 species
UUGUAGUAUGACGCCCGCGAGCUGUGAUGCGUUACUAACUGGCGCGAUCCACAGCGCCUCCUCUCCCGGCGUCUUCCUCUCUUUCAUUCUAAACAACGAUUUAAUUUCCUUGUUAAGAAGCCAUUUAGCCAACAGUAAGAAGUACACGUCUUUGCUUCCAGAAGGGUUCCCCUGAUGAAACACCGGAGGAAGGUGAAGUUGAACUUUACCUGAGCCCUGUGUUCCUGGAAAACAGCGGUGAUUAAGAAACCCCCUCAUCUAUUUGUGUUUCUGGAACGGCACACUGUAAAGAACCACCCGUCUCCAUGUGACUCAGAUAAAACGCGUGCAGAUGACCCCCUUGUUUGCCUGUGACAAGGCCAGAGACCUUUCCCCUUUAUUCUGAGCCUGUUAAUAAAGCCAAACAGACCUUCCAAAUUCCCGCUGAUGAUAUCGAGUGAUUAGUUGAGAUUAGAACUCUCCUCCCCCCAACUUGUUAGACACAGAGAACAUUUCCUGUUCACCUGACUGAAACUUCUCCUGAUUGCAAAACAAUCCCAACUGUCAAUCAUCCCACCUUCCUCCCUAUAAAAGUCAAAACUACGCUGCCAAGACACUGAUCAUAUCUGGAGUGCUCUCCCUAUUGCAAUAGGCUGAGUAAAAUCCAUUUCCUUACUUGUUCAUCUUCUCAGGCAGUCUUGAGAAUCAAAAGAACAAAGAAUUAGCAAUGCCCG